GACGACACAAUCUGCUUCAACACUCCGCAGGACGCAGCCUCCGCUAUCGCCUCAGGUGACAAGGACACUCUUCUUAGGAUCUCGUGAGGUUAUUUGCCUUGAACUUGAAUCAAAUCAUUGCAUAUUGAGGGCCUCACAUUUGAAAGUUUGCCUAGGGCCUCUCAAAAUAUUUGGAAUCUCAGGGCCGACCCUGCAAACAUGUGCAG